rnacentral:rRNA from 1 species
UACGUAGGGUCCGAGCGUUGUCCGGAAUUACUGGGCGUAAAGAGCUCGUAGGUGGUUUGUCGCGUUGUUCGUGAAAACUCACAGCUUAACUGUGGGCGUGCGGGCGAUACGGGCAGACUGGAGUACUGCAGGGGAGACUGGAAUUCCUGGUGUAGCGGUGAAAUGCGUAGAUAUCGAGAGGAACACCUGCGGCGAAGGCGGGUUGCUGGGCUGAUACUGACGCUGAGGCGCGAAAGCUAGGGGAGCGAACGGG